rnacentral:rRNA from 1 species
AAUGGGCGCAAGCCUGAUGCAGCCAUGGCCGCGUGUGUGAAGUAAGGCCUUCGGGUUGUAAAGCACUUUCAGUUGUGAGGAAGGUGGUGUCGUUAAUACGCGGCAUCAUUUGACGUUAGCAACAGAAGAAGCACCGGCUAACUCCGUGCCAGCAGCCGCGGUAAUACGGAGGGUGCGAGCGUUAAUCGGAAUUACUGGGCGUAAAGCGCAUGCAGGUGGUUUGUUAAGUCAGAUGUGAAAGCCCGGGGCUCAACCUCGGAACUGCAUUUGAAACUGGCAGACUAGAGUACUGUAGAGGGGGUAGAAUUUCAGGUGUAGCGGUGAAAUGCGUAGAGAUCUGAAGGAAUACCGGUGGCGAAGGCGGCCCCCUGGACAGAUACUGACACUCAGAUGCGAAAGCGUGGGGAGCAAACAGGAUUAGAUACCCUGGUAG